CAGUCGAGCGGACGGAUGGGAGCUUGCUCCCUGAAGUCAGCGGCGGACGGGUGAGUAACACGUGGGCAACCUGCCUGUAAGACUGGGAUAACUUCGGGAAACCGGAGCUAAUACCGGAUAAUGCACAGCCUCUCAUGAGGCUAUGCUGAAAGAUGGUUUCGGCUAUCACUUACAGAUGGGCCCGCGGCGCAUUAGCUAGUUGGUGAGGUAACGGCUCACCAAGGCAACGAUGCGUAGCCGACCUGAGAGGGUGAUCGGCCACACUGGGACUGAGACACGGCCCAGACUCCUACGGGAGGCAGCAGUAGGGAAUCUUCCGCAAUGGACGAAAGUCUGACGGAGCAACGCCGCGUGAGUGAUGAAGGUUUUCGGAUCGUAAAACUCUGUUGUCAGGGAAGAACAAGUGCCGGAGUAACUGCCGGCACCUUGACGGUACCUGACCAGAAAGCCACGGCUAACUACGUGCCAGCAGCCGCGGUAAUACGUAGGUGGCAAGCGUUGUCCGGAAUUAUUGGGCGUAAAGCGCGCGCAGGCGGUCUCUUAAGUCUGAUGUGAAAGCCCACGGCUCAACCGUGGAGGGUCAUUGGAAA
rnacentral:rRNA from 1 species